AGUGCUGGGAUUACAGGCGUGAGCCACUGUGCCCAGCCAAGACUUCCGUAUUCUUAGGAGCAGAAUUUCAACAACUCCCUGUCAAAGGGGCAGUGUGUCUUACCUGGAAUGCUUUGGCAUUUAAUAAAACGUCCUGUGAAUGCUUUUCAUAGGGAAGCACUGUUUUUACUGUUUCUGGUUGGAAUUGGUUACAUUUCAAAUCAUAGUUCAGAAUUCGUGAAAUACCUGAGUUAACUCUACGUGGCAGUAAUCCAUUUGCUGUCCUUAGUGUGUGGUUGAAAGAUGAAUUCCAGAUAAGUGUUUGGUUCCAAGCUGGGCAAUCGUGCCUGGCACGGGAAAUUUAGGUUCUUUAAGGGAAAGGCCUGAUAUGCUAAAACAAAAUGUAUACCUUAUUUAGCCGCUUAUGAGAAUAUGAAGGUCAGGGGAGCCACAGGUAAGUAUAUGUCAGUGAAUGCGAAUUAAAACAGGUGGCAAUAUAAAGAGAAAUUGGUGUCACAAAUAGUGGAGUGACUUCUGUAUUUCAGCAGACCUCAGUGAGAAAUGGUCACCACCACUCCCUAGAUGUGUGACCUUGAGUGAGUUGCUUAACAUCUCUGAUCCUCUUACCUCAUCUGCAACUGGUGCAGAUAAUAUAUAUCAUACCACACCCUGGGAGAAGCUGUUCCUACCACCUGGGCUAUGGUGGUUUUGACUUCCUCUGUGUCAGAAGCUCCCCUUCUGUCCCCCGCACCAUGGUUGUCUUUUUGUUUUGUUUUGUUUUUCGAGAUGGUGUCACUGUGUCACCCAGAACAGACUGCACUGGCCUCGACCUCCUGUGUUCAAGUGAUUGUCCCACCUCAGCCCCCCGCCCAGUAGCUGGACCACAUGUGUACAGCAUCGUGCCUGGCUGAUUUUUAAAACUUUUUGUGGAGAUGGUGAUCUCACCCUGUUGUUCAGGCUGGUCUCAAACUCCUGGGCUCAAGCAAUCCUCCCACCUCAGCCUCCCAAAGUGCCUGGAUUAGAGGUGUGAGCUACCAUUUGCGGCUCCCUGGACAGUAUUUUAUUCCUCAAACUGAGACUUGGCCUUGGGUUGGGGCUGCAUUGGACAAUUCACUGAAGGCACCACUGAAUAAAGUGGGCCCUCAGUAAAUACUGCACAAAUGUGACCUGGCCAGUGAGGUUAUUUUCUUUGUAGGUGAAAGGUGUAGCAGUCACCCAACUGACACCCAUAGCAUUGACCAUAUGAACCCAGCAACCUGACUGCCUUGGACUGCCAUCCAUAGGGCUCAUCACUGUGACUCAGCGUUUGGUCAUCCAACCAUGUGGAGAUCACAAUUCCACAAGUGUUCCCUGUCUUCCUUUUGCCUGUAAGGUCACCUGUCCCAUCCUGAGGAUACAGGGAUCUACAAGGUGGGUUGCCAACCUUCCAGGAGAGACCACGGAGCCUGGUGAGGGAGAUACACCUGCAAAGAGAGCUUCAGUGCAGUAACAGCAACGGGCAUAGCUGGUGUGUUCAUCAACUCACGAGAGAUCACACUACCAGCAUCUCCCACUUGAUUUCCCCAAUGACGAACAGCUUAUCCUGGAAAUGACUCCUUUGGUAGUCCCAUGGAAAUACUACUAGUAACGUCGUCUACUCCUUGGGGCAGUUUAGAGCACUGACUGUGUGAAGACAAGUACAGCUGUCUGGACAGUCCCUGGCAUAUGGUAAGUUUCCAACCAAUUCUAAGCUGUUUUUGUUGCUGUUCCCUCAUUUCCCUGGAGCAUGUUCUGGAGAGACAAAUGUCAAAUCUACCUUAGACCCUUUGGAUGAUGUGUAGAUUGUCUCUUCAGCUCUUCAGGGACUCAAGAUCUGAGUCUGUGGGGCAGGGGGAAGGCAUAUUUUAUUAGCAUAAUGAAUAUUCAGCUCUCCCUACAGGAUAUUGUGGAGCCUAAAUGCAAUGCUGGGGUUUCAUCCUCAUGAGCUUGUAUGGAAACUUUGAAUGGAAAUUCCUCUAGGAAACUAGAACUCUAGUGACCUCUCCCUGUGACUUGUAUAAUGCUUGGACAAGUAAGUGGGCAUUGGAUAAUCGUAGCACAAAAGCAUAUAAAUUUUUAGAAACAUUUUAAAGAGUAAAGUUUAAAGGCCAAAAAUUAUUAUCGUAUGAUCGUUCUAUUGCUAUUAGUUGUAUUAAGUCCAACUCUCCUCCAUCAAAUUGUAAAGAUCUGAAUCCGAUGGAGAUACAAAGCUGUUAGCAGUUAAUUUUCAUUAGUGGCAUU